rnacentral:rRNA from 1 species
GACGAACGCUGGCGGCGUGCUUAACACAUGCAAGUCGAGCGGAGCGGCGAACGGGAGAGUAACGCGAGAGUAACUGCCCCCCCCUCUGGGAUAACAGUUGGAAAAGGCUGCUAAUACCGGAUAGUGGGGGAUGACCCGCGCCCUAUCAGUUGGUUGGUGGGGUAGUGGCCGAACAAGGCGACGACGGGUAGCCGGCCUGAGAGGGCGACCUGCCACAUUGUGCUGAUAUACGUCCCCAACUCCUACGGGAGGCAGCUAUUAGGAAUAUUGCCCAAUGGGGGAAACCCUGAUGCAGCAAACCGCGGUCGGGAUGACGGCCUUCGAGUUGUAAACCGCUUUCAGCCAUGACGCGGUAGUGGCAAAAGACGCACCGGCUAACUCCGUACCAACUGCCGCGGUAAUUC